rnacentral:lncRNA from 1 species
GACAAACAUUAGACUACUCAGUUGCGCCCUAACAGUAUAACUUGGCAACGAGUACUUUUUCUCAUUCAACCGAAUGAAGAGUAAAACUGUAAUACCUUGAACUUUACAAAUUGGUGAAGUUGGAAAGUGGGGUUGAGAAGUGGCAUGUGCCCACAGGUUCUACUCUUUGUAAAGGUGUUUUUGGGUCAAUUUUGAGAACUAUUAGACUUUUGGAUGCAAGAAAGUGCGUCGUCGAAGCGAUUCCUGAACUUACUGCGUUAUAGUAUACUGAACUUCAGCAAUUUGCGGAGUUCGAGUGUGAGGAAUGAUAUUUGGAACCCUCCCACAUGUUCUAUAGGGUUUAAAGAUGGUUACACAUAAGUUUGAGAGUGAUCGGAAUGUCGGAAGCAAGAAGAUGCAUUGAACGGGCGAAAUUCAGCAUUUUUCUGCUUGCUGUACCGGUACAGCCAUUACCUUGUACCGGUACAAGCUGGCAGAAUCGUGGCAGCAAGGCUAGUUUGGUCUUUUCACAUUUGAUACCUAUCUAUUUGAUCCCAGCACGACUCUGGGACUUCAGUGGAGUGUGCUAGAGUGCAGAGGAGCUUCCUCCACCUUCUUUCUCUCUCUCUCUAGGGUUUUUCUCUCUCUACAUAGAAUUCGACGAUUUCGCUCGUUUUCAUCGCAACGUUGGUUCUUCGCUGUUCGCAAGUGUCGCAGGGCCUACGUGGACGUGUGAGGGAGUAUUUUGGAGAACUUUUCGCAGCUCUGGACCAGUAGCUCACUGGUUGCAAGCUUAAGAAGGUAAUCGGCUCACUUUUUCAAUUUUCGGCAACCUAUUAGUCGAUUUAUGUGUGGAUUUCGGGAUUGUUGCAUCUAGUUGCUUUAAUCUGAGUUUUCAGCAAGUAAAAUGACUUAAGUAGCUGUGAAUUUACCCUGGGAUAAGCUGAUUUGCCACUUGAAUAAGUAAUGAGUAACUAUAAUGCGAAUUCGGGACUAUACGACGUCUAAUUGCAUAAUUGAUGCAAGUUGGAAUUGGUAUCUUCGCAGCAGGUUUCCUGAGUCCAUUGAGCUUAAUUGGUGGCCUUGGGGACUGGUCUAGAAGUGUUCUAACUUGAGGUAAGCAGGAAUUUCAGUUAGAAAACUGAAUUCGCAAGAUUCCG